rnacentral:lncRNA from 1 species
CCCGACGUGGCCUCGGACGCCUGGCGCAGGGUCCCCUGAGGCUCUCGUGUAGAGCCCGCCCUCUGGCCACCUAGCACAGAAGCGGAUGUGAACUUGGACCAUCAAGGCUGAAGGACUCCUGGAUAAUUCUCUAUCCCCUUACUCCCCACUAAUCCCCUGCAGACGACACGGAGAGGGCAGAUUCGCUGGAGGUCACUCUGAACUGCCCUCUCCAUCUCGAGGUGGUGUGAAGACAUGGAAAUAAGGGGCGGAAUCCUACUGAAACGCGCUGCGUGGUUUUCUGAGUGUCUGACCUCUCUGCGUCCCAGCUUUCCCCGCCACGGUGGACGUGACAGUGCCCACUUAGCAGAUAAGAAAACUGAGCCUAUGGUGGAGAAUAUUCCUUGGUGGAAGGACCCAGGGCUGAGUUUGAAUCCCUGCUCUUUUUAACGUAAGUAAUGGCCAGUAACAGCCACAGGACCUUCAGCAAAUAACACAAGCUCCCCACUUCAGUUUCCCGGCUGUCUCCUAGGGCUGAUGUGAGCAUUGAUGAAAUGGAAGCAAAACACUUACAAUGGCUUCGUCCACAGUAAGCACUCAUGGAAGGCUGGUGAUGAUAUAUUGUUCUUCUCUGGGCCUGUUUCCCUCUCUGUAAAUAGCGCUUCAUGGACACAGACCAACUAUGGGCGUGGCUUGCCACACCAAGAGGGAGAUAUCUACGCCGAGGAGCGCCCACUCCCAGUGCCCACCUGCCAGGCCCUGGGAGGGGGAGGUAACAAAGCUCCUGGAAGGUCCCACAGUGCCUCCAGGGACAGAGCCAACUAAGGCAAAGGUCAGGCUCUGGCCCAGCCUGGGGCUGCCUCUCUAGCUUCUGCUCGUUCUUUAGCAGGCUGGCGCCAGCCAACCUCCCUACCGCCUUCCAGCAAUGGCAGGCAAAGCACCUUGGCAAUAGCAAUGGACACCCCCACCAUGGGCACUCAUGUAAGCCCAGCUAGGGUGCCCAGGAUCUCGGCUCUUCUGCUUUGGCUGGCCAGCCCUGGACAGGACACUGCCUCUUCGCCCUCCAGUCUCCUCUACCUCUUGGGGAUCCCAGGAAUCAUCUGUGAGCCAGGCCCUGGCACAGCGUCCAGGCCUAAUCACCUGAGGCCCAAAGGCCUUUUGCCCAAGGAGCCCAAGCCCAUCCCUGGCUGGAGGGAGACAUCCUGAACACAGCAGUGACAACAACCAAGCCUGGCUGGGGUCAGAGUGGCCUCAUUCACCUCCCAAGGCUCAGAUAAGUCAGGCCACUUCACCAAGAGCCUACAGUAGCAGAGGCGUGGCCUGAACACACUCGCACCAUCCUUGCAGCAGGCUCCACCUCAGCCCAGGUCUCGAUGUCAUCAAGGAGGACAGCAAAAGCUACUUAAGAGAAGGCCAGGGCCGGGUGCGGUGGCUCACGCCUGUAAUCCUAGCACUUUGGGAGGCCGAGGCGGGCGGAUCACGAGGUC